UACGAAGGGGGCUAGCGUUGUUCGGAAUUACUGGGCGUAAAGCGCGCGUAGGCGGAUCAUUAAGUCAGGGGUGAAAUCCCGGGGCUCAACCUCGGAAUUGCCUCUGAUACUGGUGGUCUUGAGUCCGUGAGAGGUGAGUGGAACUCCGAGUGUAGAGGUGAAAUUCGUAGAUAUUCGGAAGAACACCAGUGGCGAAGGCGGCUCACUGGCACGGUACUGACGCUGAGGUG
rnacentral:rRNA from 1 species